UACGGAGGGUGCUAGCGUUGUUCGGAAUUACUGGGCGUAAAGGGCGCGUAGGCGGUUGGUCAAGUCAGGUGUGAAAGCCUUGAGCUCAACUCAAGAAAUGCACUUGAUACUGGAUGACUAGAGGACCGGAGAGGAUAGUGGAAUUCCCAGUGUAGUGGUGAAAUACGUAGAGAUUGGGAAGAACACCAGUGGCGAAGGCGGCUAUCUGGACGGUUUCUGACGCUAAGACGCGAAAGCGUGGGGAGCAAACAGG
rnacentral:rRNA from 1 species